UACGGAGGGUGCAAGCGUUGCUCGGAAUUAUUGGGCGUAAAGGGUAGGUAGGUGGUCUUAUUUGUCUGGGGUGAAAGCCUUGAGCUUAACUCAAGAAGUGCCCCAGAAACGGUAAGACUGGAGUCCUGGAGAGGGUCGUGGAAUUCCCGGUGUAGCGGUGAAAUGCGUAGAGAUCGGGAGGAACACCAGAGGCGAAAGCGGCUCACUGGCCCGGUACUGACGCUGAGGUGCGAAAGCGUGGGGAGCAAACAGG
rnacentral:rRNA from 1 species